GUUUGGUUCUGGCUCCAGAUUGAACAUGGCGGGAUGCUUUACAUGCAAGUCGAACGGCAGCACGGACUUCAGUCUGGUGGCGAGUGGCGAACGGGUGAGUAAUGUAUCGGGACGUGCACUGUGUGGGGAUAACUACGCGAAAGCGCCAGCUAAUACCACAUACUUCGAAGGAAAGCGGGGGACCUUCGGGCCUCGCACUAUUAGAGCGGCCGAUAUCGGAUUAGCUAGUUGGUGGGGUAACGGCUGGGCGGCAGUCGUAGCUGGUUUGAGAGGACGACCAGCCACACUGGGACUGAGACACGGCUGAACUCUACGGGAGGCAGCAGUGGGGAAUUUGGACAAUGGGGAAACCCUGAUCCAGCCAUCCCGCGUGUGCGAUGAAGGCCUUCGGGUUGUAAAGCACUUUUUGGCAGAAGAAAACGGCGGGAUAAUACCCCGUGCAACUGACAGUACCUGCAGAAUAAGCACCGGCUAACUACGUGCCAGCAGCCGCGGUAAUACGUAGGGUGCAAGUGUUAAUCGGAAUUACUGGGCGUAAAGCGUGCGCAGGCGGUUCGGAAAGAAAGAUGUGAAAUCCCAGAGCUUAACUUUGGAACUGCAUUUUUAACUACCGAGCUAGAGUGUGUCAGAGGAGGUGGAAUUCCGCGUGUAGCAGUGAAAUGCGUAGAUAUGCGGAGGAACACCGAUGGCGAAGGCAGCCUCCUGGGAUAACACUGACGCUCAUGCACGAAAGCGUGGGGAGCAAACAGGAUUAGAUACCCUGGUAGUCCACGCCUAAACGAUGUCAGCAGCUGUUGGGGCCUUCGGGCAGCGGUAGCCCCGCAACUAACGCGUGAAGUUGACCGCCUGGGGAGAGUACGGUCGCAAGAUUAAAACUCAAAGGAAUUGACGGGGACCCGCAAGCGGUGGAUGAUGUGGAUUAAUUCGAUGCAACGCGAAAAACCUUACCUACCCUUGACAUGUCUGGAGUCCCGAAGAGAUUUGGGAGUGCUCGCAAGAGAACCGGAACACAGGUGCUGCAUGGCUGUCGUCAGCUCGUGUCGUGAGAUGUUGGGUUAAGUCCCGCAACGAGCGCAACCCUUGUCAUUAGUUGCUACGAAAGGCACUCUAAUGCCAGGACUGCCGGUGACAAACCGGAGGAAGGUGGGGAUGACGUCAAGUCCUCAUGGCCCUUAUGGGUAGGGCUUCACACGUCAUACAAUGGUCGGGACAGAGGGUCGCCAACCCGCGAGGGGGAGCCAAUCCCAGAAACCCGAUCGUAGUCCGGAUCGCAGUCUGCAACUCGACUGCGUGAAGUCGGAAUCGCUAGUAAUCGCGGAUCAGCAUGUCGCGGUGAAUACGUUCCAGGUCUUGUACACACCGCCCGUCACACCAUGGGAGUGGGUUUUACCAGAAGUAGUUAGCCUAACCGUAAGGAGGGCGAUUACCACGGUAGGAUUCAUGACUGGGGUGAAGUCGUAACAAGGUAA
rnacentral:rRNA from 1 species